rnacentral:rRNA from 1 species
CCUACGGGUGGCAGCAGUGGGGAAUAGUGGGCAAUGGAGGCAACUCUGACCCAGCAACGCCGCGUGAAUGAUGAAGGUCUUCGGAUGGUAAAGUUCUUUUCUAAGGGAAGAAGAAAGUGACGGUACCGUAGGAAUAAGCCUCGGCUAACUACGUGCCAGCAGCCGCGGUAAGACGUAGGAGGCAAGCGUUAACCGGACUGACUGGGCGUAAAGGGUGCGUAGGUGGUUUGCCAAGUUAGUAGCGCAACUCCGGAGCUCAACUUCGGAACUCCUACUAAAACUGUUGGACUUGAGUGCAGGCUGGGCAAUCGCCCUUCCUAUUGUAGCGGUGUAAUUCGUAGUUCUUAGGAGGUACCCCAGUGGC